CGGACGGGUGAGUAACACGUGGAUAACCUACCUAUAAUACUGGGAUAACUUCGGGAAACCGGAGCUAAUACCGGAUAAUAUAUUGAACCGCAUGGUUCAAUAGUGAAAGACGGUUUUGCUGUCACUUAUAGAUGGAUCCGCGCCGCAUUAGCUAGUUGGUAAGGUAACGGCUUACCAAGGCAGCGAUGCGUAGCCGACCUGAGAGGGUGAUCGGCCACACUGGAACUGAGACACGGUCCAGACUCCUACGGGAGGCAGCAGGC
rnacentral:rRNA from 1 species